UUUUAUGUCCCUUCACGGUCUCCGUAAUAAAAUGGCUAUCUAUACGAGACGGUAAACUACAUGCUACACCUAUAUGCGUUGUUAUUCGUUUUACCAAAGACCAGCUGCUGGUCAAGAAGUUGACAUCACAGGCAUGGCUUCCAAAGUGUAUAUUAUUGAAUUAGAAGAUGGUAAAGAUAACUCUAAUAAAGACAAGGAAGGUGAUUUGUGUAAGAACAGGUGUAAGAACAGGUGCAGGUGUAAGAACAGGUGCAGGUGUAUGAACAUGUGUAAGACGAGAUGCAAGUAUAUGUACAUUUGUAUGUUUCGGUUGUUAUAUGUGCUGACAUAUCUUCUCACCGUGUAUGCCUUGGCGUCAACGUCUUUCCAGUCCGUAUGUUUUAUUCAGGCUUUCAAUUUGUCCUGUUUUUCUGAUCGUACAUGUCUGGAUGUGUAUGUUCCUAAUUCAUGUAAGUUGUCGAAAAAGGAAUACAAGUUACCAAGAACACAUUGUAACUUCUCUGCUAAUAAUUAGUCUUGUUGGACUGAUGAUAGUUGGUUUCCUGUUGAUUUUCGGACUGCCUGAUCCCAUACUCGAAUCUCGAGAUGCACAGACCUUGUGUUACAUAAAAAAUGCGUUCUAUUUCUACUUGGUCAUAUUAAUUGGUAUUGACUCCGUAUUGGCAGUUAUCCUCAUCCUCCGGAAAAGGGGUCUACUGUGUAAUACUAUCACCGAAAAAAAACUUGUGUUGAAACAACACAAACUUGUGUUAAAUGUUGAAACAACACAAAACUUGUGUUAAAAUUUAUCAAACAACACAAACUUGUGUGAAAAUCUACACAUUACUUGUGUUGAAAUUUCUGAAACUUGUGUUGAAAUUUCUGAAACUUGUGUUGAAAUUUCUGAAACUUGUGUUGAAAUUUCUGAAACUUGU